rnacentral:rRNA from 1 species
UACAGAGGGUGCAAGCGUUGUUCGGAAUUAUUGGGCGUAAAGGGUGCGUAGGCGGUGCGGUAAGUCUGUAGUGAAAUCUCUGGGCUCAACUCAGAGUCUGCUAUAGAAACUGCCGUGCUUGAGUGUGGGAGAGGUGAGUGGAAUUCCCGGUGUAGCGGUGAAAUGCGUAGAUAUUGGGAGGAACACCAGUGGCGAAGGCGGCUCACUGGACCGGUACUGACGCUGAGGCGCGAAAGCGUGGGGAGCAAACGGG